rnacentral:tRNA from 1 species
GCCCGAGUGGCGGAAUGGUAGACGCAAGGGACUUAAAAUCCCUCGAACAUUUUGUUCGUGCCGGUUCAAGUCCGGCUUCGGGCACCA